rnacentral:tRNA from 1 species
AAUUAGUUAACAUAAAUGGUAAUGUAAUAAAUUGCAAAUUUAUUGAUAAGGGUUCAAGUCCCUUACUAAUUU